GACGGAGGGUGCUAGCGUUGUUCGGAAUCACUGGGCGUAAAGGGCGCGCAGGCGGCCCCUCGCGUCGGACGUGAAAGCCCGGGGCUCAACCCCGGAACGGCGUCCGAUACGGGGGGCGUCGAGGCCGGGAGAGGGGGGUGGAAUACCCAGUGUAGAGGUGAAAUUCGUAGAUAUUGGGUGGAACACCGGUGGCGGAAAGCGGCCCCCUGGCCCGGUCCUGACGCUGAGGCGCGAAAGCGUGGGGAGCAAACAGG
rnacentral:rRNA from 1 species